rnacentral:lncRNA from 1 species
UGUCUGAUUCAUAAGUGCUGUUCAUUGACAAAAUCCUUGGUUCUAUUGACACUAAAAUUUACAUAGUGCUGAACAUGAGUCAAGAGUAGACUCGUCUGCAUACACAGAGACUCUUGACGGCAUGUUUGGGAUGGAUGAUUUGAUAGCAUGGGAUAAUAUUAAAGAAGAAGGAAAAAAGAGCUAAAAUCUGAUUUCAGUAUUACUAUACCAAACAUGAACUGUACAUCUUUAUACAAGUAUUGGAAAUAGGAUGGAUAGGCUAUGCUAGAGGUGAAGAAGAUGAACUGUGCUCCACUUGAAGCUCGAAGGCAGUGAAAUGAUCACACAUGCGACUUCUGCUGACCAGGCAUUGUUCGUCCCUAUUCCAACGAACUCAAAAUUUGUCAUUCAUCAUUUACGAACAAGAUCAACAUUUACCUUUAAACAAUCCGGGGGUGGCCAGCAACCAUGGAAUUCAAAAUUAUCAAACUUCCUGGAAAGUCUUUGCUCCAUAACUUGAAGAUGGCAGAAGGGAGACGAACAGAUACGCAUCCCACCAACUGGGAUUCUUUGUUCGUUGGUGAUACCAAAAUUGGCAUAACUUGAAUGAGAUGCCACUGAAUCUCCAACUGGGAUCUUUUCUCGUUACCCUCGCUCAUAAUAUUGCAAACACACACCAUCUAUAUAAUUCACAAAUAGAGGAAAGAAUUGGAUAAACCCCAUAAUUCACAAUGUCAAGAUCUAAAAAAAAAAUAAAAAAUCACACCACAUUUGUGCAUGCUACAGAAUAAUGAUCACACUUUAUACUAUCUAUAAGUUCUGUGACUUGAAAAUUGUAAUUCUGUUCCGGCAUUAUUAUACAACUUUUCUAUUUUGAAUUCGAAGAGACAGUCGCUAAAACACAU